rnacentral:rRNA from 1 species
GACGAUCUCUCCAAACGUUAUUCGGUAUUACUGGGCUUAAAGAGUUCGUAGGCGGUCUUGUAGGUGAGGUGUGAAAGCCCUCGGCUUAACCGAGGAACUGCGCUUCAAACCGCAAGGCUAGAGGAAGGUAGGGGUAUGCGGAACAGAUGGUGGAGCGGUGAAAUGCGUUGAUAUCAUCUGGAGCACCGGUGGCGAAAGCGGCAUACUGGACCUUUUCUGACGCUGAGGAACGAAAGCUAGAGUAGCGAACGGG